ACUGGGGUACCGCAUACCCUCAAAAUGGCCACCCAUCGGUAACAAAAGCAUGACCAGUCUUAUUGGAUUUGUAGUUACUGGGUUAUGUGUCAAAGCAGAGCACAUAACCUAAUCAAUCCUUGCAUAUCCAAAUCAGUACAAUAUUCAAAUACUAAAUCAACCUUUAAUAUAAAGAAGAUCCUGUAAUAGCCACACACCACGAUCAAGGAAAGGAACAAAAGAAUUAAAGAUUUAAUUGCAAGAAAACAGGAGAGCAGAAGAAGCACAAGAGUAAGAACAAGGGCUCAAGUAUUAAGUAUUGAAAAUAUUUCAAUAGACAAGUUCUAAUAAACAAAAGUCACAGUCACUUCAACCCUCAGCACCCUGAGUGAAAAGUUAUGUAGACAGGGCAGAACCACAACUUAAGAAGGGCUGGAUAUCAACAUAAUGCAUCGACAGGAUGAGCUGUCAGAAGGAGCAAGAGCCUGAGGGUUAGGGUUAGGGUUAGGGUUAUGAAUUAUCCCUACACAAAUUUGGUUUAGAACAAUGUUAAUACCUUAAUAACAGCAAUAGCAACAAUCAUGAUUGUAGUUAGCCAAGAACAAAAGGCAGCAUUUACCAUUUAUAAAAUAUGAGCAGACAGACUGUGUUUAACAAGCGAGUAAUAAUACAAUAAAAUAAAGCAGAAUAAGUAACUGCAACAGUGUUCAGAGAUGUGCCCACAUCAUUAUGUACAAGACAUAAACUGGUAGGUAAAUAAUAAGUAAAAUCGACAGAUAAAUAAGAUGAAAGAAAUAAAAAUAGAAACCCGAGUCUAGGGGUUACAACAGAAACCUCACAAAGGUACGUAGAUUAAAAUAAACAUAUUACAUUUAAUACAUACAGAAGUAGCCUAUACUCUAGAUUUCCUUAAAAACAUAGCCAACAAUGCAAUCUCAGCAACAAUGCCAAGACAAAAUUGGCUAAAAUAAUGCAUACUUGACAGGGACAGAACAUAAACAUAAUCAUAGAUUGGUAAAACAGAAAUCUAACUUAAUAAAGUGAAAUGUAAAUCCGCUACAGUUACUCCCUUCCGAGCAUUUGCUAAAUUAUUUUAAAUAUUAAAUGUAAUUUUUUUUUUCUCUUUAGGUCCAGGAUAUGUUCUUAAAGUUUCUUGUCUUUGAGUUGAUGAGGUUCCAAAUAAAUUCUCAUCAUUAGAAUCAUCCAAAAAACUUACCAAAUAAGCUAGUUUUAGUCUCUGUGUAGAAACACUAUUGGUUGUCCAUUUACCUUGAUAACAAAACUCUACACAAAGGCCUUUCUAAAACUUCAGAGGGACCCUCAUAUGAAGGAGCUAGAGGUGGCUUAACACAAUCUGAAUAUAAAAAGACAUGAGAACUUUGUAGAAUUGGAAACAAAAAUACCAUCUUUUUAAUAUGAUGAACAGUUAUCAGAGGUUUUAAAAAUUUCAAAUGUCCUCUUAAAUUUUGUAAGAAGAUCUUGCGAUUAACUGGAGGUUCUUCAUCCAAAAAGAUUUCUUCAGGUAAUCUCAACACAGAUCUAUAAACUAUCUUUGAAGGGAGAAACUCCGAUGUCUUCCUUGUUAACUGUUCUUACGAUUAAACCUAAUAAAACUGUCGGUAAAAUUUCUUUAGUUCUGUAACAAGAAAUUACUGCCUUUAAUGAUCUAUGCUAGCGUUUAAUCAUUCCAUGCGAAGUUGGAUGAUAGGCAGUAGUCCUUAUACCGUUGAAUCCAACUAUUUCGGCUAAAGUUUUAAAAACUUCCGAUUCAAAUUGACUUCUUCUAUCAGUUGUAAUAGUAACUGGUGCACCAAAUCUUGAUACCCAAGUCGAAAAGAAAGUAGUAGCAACUGUUGUAGCUGAAGUUUUUUAAAUUGGAAUAGCCUCAGGCCAACGUGUAAAUUUGUCAAUCAUGGUUAAAUAAUAACGAAACUGUUUACAAAUUGGUAAUGGGCCAACAAUGUCUAUAUGAACAUGAUAAAACCUCCCCUCUGGAACAAGUAUACGUUUUCGGAAUGUUCUGACAUGGAAUGCAAGUGCGUACCCAUUCAGCCGUUUCUUUUAAUAUUUCUGGCCAAAUAAAUCUUUGAGACAAAAGUUUUUUUGUCAUUCUACUUCCAGGAUGAGUUAAAUUAUGAACAACUUGGAAAACUUUCUUUCUCAAAAUUUUAGGAACAUAUGGUCUGAUAUUUUUUCCGACAAUAUUACAAAAUACUUUAGUAUUUGAAUCACCAAUUCUCAAUUUUCUUUAAGUUCUUCAUCAACCUGUUGUGCUUCUGCCAACUCUUCGGUAGUGACCACAAUAGGCAUGUCAAUAGUUUCUACUCAUGAAAAUGAAUCUGCAACAAUGUUUUCGUUUCCACGAACAAAAAUAAUUUUUGUUGAAAAUUGACCAAUAAUAUGUAGAUGUUGAAGUUGACGAGUUGAUGCUUUUGAUGAUUUUUGUUGCAAAGCAAAAAUUAAAGGUAUUUAUGGUUAGUUUGAAUAGUUAAGUCUCUUCCGUCAAUCAUGUAUCUGAAAAAUUUAAUCCCUCAAUAAAUUGCUAAUUAUUCCCGAUCGUGUAUACUAUAAUUCUUUUGAGAAUUGCUGAAUUUUUGUGAGAGAAAUCCUAAAGGUUGCCAAACUGCAUCGACCAACUGCUCAAGUGUAGCAUCCAUGGCUGCAUCAGAAGCAUCGGUUUUUAAAGUUAAAGGAGCAUUAUCUAAGGGACGCGAUAAUAAUGUCGCCGAAAUUAAUUGCUUCUUUGUUUCUUCAAAAGCUUCAAUUUGUUCCUUGGACCAAUUAAUAAUUCUUUUAUCUUUUUUUCUUCGCAACAGCUAAUAGAGAAUGUAGUGGAGCUUGAAUUUGUGCAGUAAGAGGAAUAAAUCUUCUAUAAAAA